rnacentral:rRNA from 1 species
GACGAACGCUGGCGGCGUGCUUAACACAUGCAAGUCGAACGGCAAGGCACUGCUUUUGUGGGGUGCUCGAGUGGCGAACGGGUGAGUAACACGUGAGUAACCUGCCCUUGAUUUUGGGAUAGCUUCAGGAAACUGGGGCUAAUACCGGAUAGGAGACCAUGUUGCAUGGUGGGGGUUGGAAAGUCUCGGCGGUUGGGGAUGGAUUCGCGGCUUAUCAGCUUGUUGGUGGGGUAGUGGCUUACCAAGGCUUUGACGGGUAGCCGGCCUGAGAGGGUGACCGGCCACAUUGGGACUGAGAUACGGCCCAGACUCCUACGGGAGGCAGCAGUGGGGAAUAUUGCACAAUGGGCGGAAGCCUGAUGCAGCAACGCCGCGGGCGGGAUGACGGCCUUCGGGUUGUGAACCGCUUUCGCCUGUGACGAAGCGUGAGUGACGGUAAUGGGUAAAGAAGCACCGGCUAACUACGUG